GACGAACGCUGGCGGCGUGCUUAACACAUGCAAGUCGAACGGACAGGCCCUGCUUUUGUUGGUUUCUCGAGUGGCGAACGCGUGUGUAACACGUGUGUAACCUGCCCUUGUCUUUGGGAUAACUUCACGAAACUGGGGCUCAUACCCGAUAUGAUCUCUUGCUGCAUGUUGUGGGUUGGAAAGUUUCGGUUGUUGGGGAUGUGCUCGCGGCUUAACCGCUUGUUGGUGGGGUAGUGGCUUACCAAGGGUUCGACGGGUAGCCGGCCUGAGAGGGUGACCGGCGACAAUGGGACUGAGAUAGGGACCAGACUCCUACGGGAGGCAGCAGUGGGGAAUAUUGCACAAUGGGCGGAAGCCUGAGGCAGAAACGCCGGGUGCGGGAUAACGGCUUUCGGGGUGUAAACCGAUUUCGCAGGUGACGAAGAGUGAGUGACGGUAAUGGGUAAAGAAGCACCGGCUAACUACGUG
rnacentral:rRNA from 1 species